rnacentral:rRNA from 1 species
UCAUUUAGAGGAAGUAAAAGUCGUAACAAGGUUUCCGUAGGUGAACCUGCGGAAGGAUCAUUAUUGAAAUACUCGAGGAGAGGUUGUUGCUGGUCUUUGUUUUCAGAGACAACGUGCACGCCUUUUCUACCCAUUUCUUUCAAAAACCUGUGAACCUCUUGUAGGCCAAGAGAUUGGUCUACGUUUACAAAACAAACCCCCUUUGCAUGUGCAUGAACGAUUAUUGUAAAAGUUUUAAUAUAACACAACUUUCAACAACGGAUCUCUUGGCUCUCGCAUCGAUGAAGAACGCAGCGAAAUGCGAUAAGUAAUGUGAAUUGCAGAAUUCAGUGAAUCAUCGAAUCUUUGAACGCACCUUGCGCUCCUUGGUAUUCCGAGGAAGCAUGCCUGUUUGAGUGUCCCAAAUUUCUCACCCUUGCAACGUUUGUUCAAGGCUUGGAUCGUGGAGGUUCCGCCGGAAUUUGACCAGAAGUUGGGCUCCUCUAAAAUGCAUCAGCAAACUUUUUUUUUUCUUUGCUGGCUUUGGUUUGAUAAUCUAUCUAUGUCAUCGCCCUCUGUAACGAAAAAAGGGUAGGUUUACAAUCGUCCUCGGACAAAAUACUUGACGCUUUUGACCUCAAAUCAGGUAGGACUACCCGCUGAACUUAAGCAUAUCAAUA